rnacentral:lncRNA from 1 species
UCUUUUUUUUUUUUUUUUCCGGAGCUGGGGACGGAAUUCAGGGCCUUGCGCUUGCUAGGCAAGCGCUGCUCUACCACUGAGCUAAAUCCCCAACCCCCAGACAGAUUUCUCACUCUCCCUCAGAGAAACGUGAAGCAGCAGUGGGGAGCUAAGAAGUCUUCCUGCAGUCCUAAAAGCGUGACUGGCAUUGAGUGUGGAAGGAGGACCUGAAUCGACUAAGGCAGAGCAAGACAAGGACAUCCACACGUUCCUCAUCUCAUAGCUGACUGUGCGCUUUAACUAAAUGUUCAACUCCCUGAACAAAGCUAAAGGCCCCCCAAGGAAAUAAAAUCCCUUAGAGUAACAGGCAGCCCCUGGCCCCCUGCCUAACCUGCCAACAGGCAGCCCUGACCUAACAGGCCUCAGAGCUGCUGGAUGGACGCAGAGAACACCUGAUCUCAACUCUGUACAGACCUUUAAAAAUCCUAUAAUAAAGUAGAGAGUUUUCACUCUUCCUAACAGGUAUUUAAAAGACAUUUACAGGUAUGCAUUAGAAUUAAAUGUUAAUUUAUGACACCCUUUGCAGUCUUUUAUACUCUAAAAUAAAUCUCUGGAAAUAUUAAAAAAAAAAGUUGCAUUUUAUAUAUUCCUGAAUGCCGAGGAGCUUACAGUGCAAUUUCUCAGUUUUCAUUCCUCAGAAAUCUCUAAUUGUGCUCAUGAGUUCAUCCUGAAAGCACCCACUCUGACAGACACACACUGGGUGCCUCACUGUAGACAGCCGGCGCCAGACUGCCCCUGUUCUGAGAUUAGAUGGAAAGGAGAAAGAAAAAGCACCAUGUAAAACUCAUCCUAUUAGGAUAAAAAUAACAUUUGCAUAAAAAGAACAUAGAAAAUGAGCCGUCUCUCCUGUAGGUGCAUUUCUUCAGUCAAUCGCCGGGUUUACCGAAAGUGCUCUCUUAGUUCAAUUAUUGUACAAAUUACCUUUAAGCAAAUGUCAGAGUGUCCACUAUUUAUCUGGCUAAAACCUUUCAGAGGACACUACUCGUUUUAAAAAUCUCCUUUCUUCAGAAAAGACUAAUUAAAAACAAGCCCACCGCUCUUUGCUUUACAAUUUUAAUAUUAAUGAACAAGUCUCUCUGAGGCAAAGUGGUAUUUCUUUGAGGUCUGACCUACACAUGUAGCAGUAAAUUCCUAAUACAUGCAGGAUUGCAAAACCAAGACUCAAAAUUGAGUCAAAAAAAAAAAAAAAAA